GAUGAAUGCUGGCGGCGUGCCUAAUACAUGCAAGUCGAGCGAACAGACGAGGAGCUUGCUCCUCUGACGUUAGCGGCGGACGGGUGAGUAACACGUGGAUAACCUACCUAUAAGACUGGGAUAACUUCGGGAAACCGGAGCUAAUACCGGAUAAUAUAUUGAACCGCAUGGUUCAAUAGUGAAAGACGGUUUUGCUGUCACUUAUAGAUGGAUCCGCGCCGCAUUAGCUAGUUGGUAAGGUAACGGCUUACCAAGGCAACGAUGCGUAGCCGACCUGAGAGGGUGAUCGGCCACACUGGAACUGAGAAACGGUACAGACUCCUACGGGAGGCAGCAGUAGGGAAUAUUCCGCAAUGGGCGAAAGCCUGACGGAGCAACGCCGCGUGAGUGAUGAAGGUCUUCGGAUCGUAAAACUCUGUUAUUAGGGAAGAACAAAUGUGUAAGUAACUAUGCACGUCUUGACGGUACCUAAUCAGAAAGCCACGGCUAACUACGUG
rnacentral:rRNA from 1 species